GACGAACGCUGGCGGCGUGCCUAAUACAUGCAAGUCGAGCGAGGCUCUUCGGAGUCUAGCGGCGGACGGGUGAGUAACACGUGGGCAACCUGCCUGUAAGACUGGGAUAACACCGGGAAACCGGUGCUAAUACCGGAUAAUCCUUUUCCUCUCAUGAGGAAAAGCUGAAAGUCGGUUUCGGCUGACACUUACACAUGGGCCCGCGGCGCAUUAGCUAGUUGGUGAGGUAACGGCUCACCAAGGCGACGAUGCGUAGCCGACCUGAGAGGGUGAUCGGCCACACUGGGACUGAGACACGGCCCAGACUCCUACGGGAGGCAGCAGUAGGGAAUCUUCCACGAUGGACGAAAGUCUGAUGGAGCAACGCCGCGUGAGCGAUGAAGGCCUUCGGGUCGUAAAGCUCUGUUGUUAGGGAAGAACAAGUACCGGAGUAACUGCCGGUACCUUGACGGUACCUAACCAGAAAGCCACGGCUAACUACGUGCCAGCAGCCGCCGUAACAC
rnacentral:rRNA from 1 species